AAGCAACAUUCUGUAGCAGAUGAUCAAAACUGUCUGACACAAUCCAAACUUGCUAUAGCAACAAAGUCUAACCUAUCCCAGCACUCUCUCCUCUAUGAGACAAGCCGUUUCAUAGACUUAGACAGU